AAUUGAAGAGUUUGAUCCUGGCUCAGCCUGAACGCUGGCGGCGUGGCUAAGACAUGCAAGUCGUACGGGUGUAGCAAUACACCAGUGGCGAACGGGUGAGUAAUGUAUCGCUAACGUGCCCUGGAGUCGGGGAUAGCCGGCCGAAAGGCCGGGUAAUACCCGGUGACAUGCCUGUGGGGCAUCCCACGGGCCUCAAAGCCGCAAGGCGCUCUGGGAGCGGGCGAUAUCGUAUCAGCUUGUUGGUAGGGUAACGGCCUACCAAGGCGACGACGCGUAGCCGGACUGAGAGGUCGGCCGGCCACAUCGGGACUGAGACACUGCCCGGACUCCUACGGGGGGCUGCAGUAACGAAUAUUGGGCAAUGGGCGCAAGCCUGACCCAGCGACGCCGCGUGGAGGUUAAGUCCUUCGGGAUGUAAACUCCUGUCAGGGGUUACCAAGUUCUGAGGAGCCCCAGAGGAAGGCACGGCUAACUCUGUGCCAGCAGCCGCGGUAAGACAGAGGUGCCAAGCGUUAGGCGGAAUCACUGGGCUUAAAGCGUGUGUAGGCGGACGUCUAAGUGCCUUGUGAAAUCCCCCGGCUUAACCGGGGCAUGGCUGGGCAUACUGGGCGUCUUGAGGCAUCCAGGGGUCGCUGGAACAAGCGGUGGAGCGGUGAAAUGCGUAGAUAUCGCUUGGAACGCCGGCGGUGAAAACGGGCGACUGGGGAUGAACUGACGCUGAGACACGAAAGCCAGGGGAGCAAACGGGAUUAGAUACCCCGGUAGUCCUGGCCCUAAACGAUGUCCACUAGAUCGGGGGCAUUUUGACGAUGCUCGUGGUCGAAGCAAAAGUGCUAAGUGGACCGCCUGGGAAGUACGGUCGCAAGGCUAAAACUCAAAGGAAUUGACGGGGGCUCACACAAGCGGUGGAGCAUGUGGUUCAAUUCGAAGCAACGCGC
rnacentral:rRNA from 1 species